rnacentral:rRNA from 1 species
GACGAACGCUGGCGGCGUGCCUAAUACAUGCAAGUAGAACGCUGAAGGAGGAGCUUGCUUCUCUGGAUGAGUUGCGAACGGGUGAGUAACGCGUAGGUAACCUGCCUGGUAGCGGGGGAUAACUAUUGGAAACGAUAGCUAAUACCGCAUAAUAGCAGUUGUUGCAUGAUAACUGUUUGAAAGGUGCAAUUGCACCACUACCAGAUGGACCUGCGUUGUAUUAGCUAGUUGGUGGGGUAACGGCUCACCAAGGCGACGAUACAUAGCCGACCUGAGAGGGUGAUCGGCCACACUGGGACUGGGACACGGCCCAGACUCCUACGGGAGGCAGCAGUAGGGAAUCUUCGGCAAUGGACGGAAGUCUGACCGAGCAACGCCGCGUGAGUGAAGAAGGGUUUCGGAUCGUAAAGCUCUGUUGUAAGAGAAGAACGAGUGUGAGAGUGGAAAGUUCACACUGUGACGGUAUCUUACCAGAAAGGGACGGCUAACUACGUG